AAAAUCGAGUUCUUUUAUUGUGAAUCUUGGUAGGAGAUAAAUCGCUGUUAUUGAUACAUCUGCGUGCAUACAUUUUAUCUGAAUUGUGGUAGCCUGCAUAGCGUUUUCACUGGUACUGUCCAUGAUUUGAAAUUUAAGUCCCUGCUUGACAAUAAUUGCAGCAUCUCCAUGAGCUAUUUGAUGGAUGGUCAGCUCUUACUGUGUCGUAUCCACAGUUAGUGGAGUGUGUGAAGUGAAGUGUGUUUCUGAAAUAAGCAUGACGUCAAUGGCAUUCGUUUUUAAAAAUAAGGCUAUUUCAUUUACAUGGUUGGAAAGUCCAUUGGCAUUCCAUAUUCCUAAGUUUAGAUUUAUUUGCAUAGCUUAUUUACAAGUAACAUUAUCAUGUUAAGUAAAUUAUUGGUAAAUUGAGAUUGUUUUUCAAGAAGCUGUUCUAUUCUUUAUAGAGACUUGUUCAAGGUACUAUUUCCUGCAGCAACUUGAGCGUAUGAUUGGUAAUCUUUGGGUUGUUGGGUCGAAUUAUUAAACGGAGCAAAUGAUUGAGAUGUACCAUGGUCAUUUUUAUUAUUGCCAUCUUUGGUUUUUCUGCUGGUUGCUCUUUAUCUUUUGGGCAAAUGUUGCUGGGAUGGUUAAGAGAGCAUAUUUUGAGGGUGAGUUUUGGCACAAUAUGACUUUGUGUGUCCAAAUUCCUGGCAACGAUAACACUGAACGAUUUUUUUGUUUUUACGGGGUGGUUCUAUAUUAACAACUGCGUUACCAAUGAGUUUAACUUUGUAAAUAUCUAAGUUCUUAUUGUUGGGCUCAAUGUCUUAGUAGAACAAAUUCACUAGCUCUUUGGUAACACGACUUUUAAUAUUACUAAUGUUUCUAACAGAGUGGCCUUUGCACUCCACAUCUUGUUUGAUUAGGUCGAUAUCCGUUGAGAAGUGCAAAUUCUUAAUAACAAUUCUCAUGUUUAAGUUGGUAUGUGUGAAAUUUGACAAAAUCUUUUUUCGUGUUCGUCUUCAUUUCCUUUAUUUGGCGUGCUGUCGCUUAGGAGGACAUAUUGAUUGGAGCUGGUGCUGGGUGCUAAGUCCAGAGCGAUUUUUACUUUAGUAGAAUCGGAGAAGCCUUUGGCUUCGGUUUUACUCUCUGCCAGUUCUAAACCGUUGUGUCGUCUUCGUCGUCGUUCAUGAUAACAACACGUUGUUAUUGCUUAUCACUAACCACUGUUUUGUUUGUUUUUGUUUUGUGAAUGGAUUAACUGUUAAUAGGACUUUUGCUUUAU
rnacentral:lncRNA from 1 species